GCAUCGAGAUCCGUGCAACCCUUUAAGUGAAAAGUUUCCAAAAAGUUCUGUUAACCCUCCGUUAUAUCUCUCUCUUUCAUUCUCUCACUCACUCACUCACUCUCUCUCUCUUCUUUUCUUUUUUCUUUUCCUUUCUUCUCCACAGAUCUCAUAUCCUUUUCCUUUCUUCUCCACAGAUCUCCUCCCACCAGAGCCUUCUCCACACCCCGCCCACCUCGCCCGCUCGCCCCCUCUCCAUUUCGUUUCUUUUUCCUUUUUUUUUCUUCUCCUCCGCAAAACCCACCGAAUCCCUCUCCCGUCUCGCUCAUGCGCCAGCUCACUCGCGCCCCAGCUCGCUCGGCCGCCUGCUCGCUUGCUCAAAACGUGAUUCUUUCUCAGGUUUGAGAGAAAGAAACGCUUUUUUCUCUUUUUUUUUGUUUGCUGUAAUUUUCUGAAACUAUUGACAGGAAAAGAGGUGAUUGUUUGGGCUUAUUUAAUAUUUAGGCUCAAAGUAUGUUG
rnacentral:lncRNA from 1 species